rnacentral:rRNA from 1 species
UACGGAGGGUGCAAGCAUUAAUCGGAUUUAUUGGGCGUAAAGGGCGCGUAGGCGGUAAUAUAAGUCAAAUGUGAAAUCCUGGGGCUCAACCCCAGAACAGCAUAUGAAACUGUAUUUCUAGAGGAUAGGCGGAGAAAACGGAAUUCCACAAGUAGCGGUGAAAUGCGUAGAUAUGUGGAAGAACACCGGUGGCGAAGGCGGUUUUCUAGCUUAGACCUGACGCUGAGGCGCGAAAGCAAGGGGAGCAAACAGG